rnacentral:rRNA from 1 species
GACGAACCACACAAACGUUAUUCGGAAUUACUGGGCUUAAAGGGUGCGUAGGCUGUGCGGAAAGUUGGGUGUGAAAUCCCCCGGCUCAACCGGGGAAUUGCGCCCAAAACUACCGUGCUUGAGGAAGACAGAGGUGAGCGGAACUUCGGGUGGAGCGGUGAAAUGCAUUGAUAUCCGAAGGAACACCGGUGGCGAAAGCGGCUCACUGGGUCUUUUCUGACGCUGAUGCACGAAAGCUAGGGGAGCAAACGGG